rnacentral:rRNA from 1 species
UACGGAGGGUGCAAGCGUUAUCCGGAUUUACUGGGUUUAAAGGGUGUGUAGGCGGGCUUUUAAGUCAGUGGUGAAAUCUCCGGGCUCAACCUGGAAACUGCCAUUGAUACUAUUAGUCUUGAAUUCUGUUGAGGUAGGCGGAAUAAGUCAUGUAGCGGUGAAAUGCAUAGAUAUGACUUAGAACACCAAUUGCGAAGGCAGCUUGCUAAACAGAUAUUGACGCUGAGGCACGAAAGCGUGGGGAUCAAACAGG